ACCACGAAGAGAAACGAGACUUACUGAAGAUGAGAGAUUCUGAGGAUGAAGAGGCCCGUCUGCCUGGACAGCCCGAGAUCAGCGAGUCUUCAUGAGCGAUUCUGGAUCUUCAGAUCCAAAAGGUCAGCGGGUCAGAAGAAGGCCGGAGGCUCCUGGAUCUGUGUCCAUCUGUACAGAGUGACCAGUCCAAAGGAGAAGUUAUUUAUUUCCACAAUGAAUCUGGAACUUCAGACCCAAAAGGUCAGCAAUUUAAAAGGAAGCCAGCGUCUCCAAGAUCUGACUGUCUGUCCAUGAGGAGUAACCAGUCCAAAGGAGAAGUGAUAUAUUUCCAUGAUGACCCUGGAACGUCACAUUCAAUGACCCAGCAGCACAGACAGACUGGUUGGUCUCCAGACUGUCUGUGAGUAACCAGUCCAAAGGUGAAGUUAUAUAUUUCCAUAAUGACCCUGGAGCCUCAGAAACAAUACAGAAGAACCAUCCCGUUGAUAAGAUCCAGCUGUUAUGCUGUGCGUUGUGCCAGGACAUCCUAAAAGAACCGAUCUCCAUGAAUUGUGAACACCAGUUCUGCAGACAGUGCAUAAAGCCUUACUGGGACCAGUUCAUCUCAGCAGGUAACCCCUUCUGUCCCCAUUGUGGAGAAAAGCCCAGAGCUGGACAGCAGUCUUUCCCAGCAGAUGUUGGCCUGCAGGGGGUUCUAGAGGAACAUAAGAUCAGUCUGAGGAGAUGUGACUGAAGGAAGUGAUGAAACGGGAAGUAGAACCCUCCUCAACAGGAUCUACACUGAUCUCUACAUCACAGAGGGACAGAGUGAAGAGGUUGAUACCCAACAUGAGGUGAAACAGCUUGAGAGAGCUUCCAAGAUC